CCACGCUGUAAACGAUGUCGAUUUGGAGUUUGUUGCCUAGAGUGAUGGGCUCCGAAGCUAACGCGAUAAAUCGACCGCCUGGGGAGUACGGCCGCAAGGUUAAAACUCAAAUGAAUUGACGGGGGCCCGCACAAGCGGUGGAGCAUGUGGUUUAAUUCGAUGCAACGCGAAGAACCUUACCUGGUCUUGACAUCCAUAGAAUUCUGCAGAGAUGUGGGAGUGCCUUCGGGAACUAUGAGACAGGUGCUGCAUGGCUGUCGUCAGCUCGUGUUGUGAAAUGUUGGGUUAAGUCCCGCAACGAGCGCAACCCUUAUUCUUUGUUGCCAGCGAUUUGGUCGGGAACUCAAAGGAGACUGCCGUUGAUAAAGCGGAGGAAGGUGGGGACGACGUCAAGUCAUCAUGGCCCUUACGACCAGGGCUACACACGUGCUACAAUGGCGUAUACAAAGGGAAGCGAAGGUGCGAGCUGGAGCGGAUCUCAUAAAGUACGUCUAAGUUCGGAUUGGAGUCUGCAACUCGACUCCAUGAAGUCGGAACCGCUAGUAAUCGUAGAUCAGAAUGCUACGGUGAAUACGUUCCCGGGCCUUGUACACACCGCCCGUCACACCAUGGGAGUGGGUUGCACCAGAAGUAGAUAGCUUAACCGCGAGGGGGGCGUUUACCACGGUGUGAUUCAUGACUGGAGUGAAGUCGUAACAAGGUAACCA
rnacentral:rRNA from 1 species